CGGUCGGAAUUUAAUACAUUAACGAUUGUUUACCGUCAAAACAACGCUCACCUCUCUUUACACCACAUUGGUUUGAACUCGGACUUGACAGUUUGACAUUGCGCGAGCUUGUUUAUUUUUGUUUUGCUUGGUUGAGGAUUUUUGUCGUCAUCAUGAGCAGCAGCAGAAAGCCGGAAAGGAGAGCCAACUUUUGUUGAAUAAUUCGAUUUGGCACGGGCAUUAGAAAAUUUUGAUGGAGUUGGUUCUGGACUUGACCCCGGUCCUGGCUUUCGAAUAUUAAGAUGGCUUGAAGAUCUUUGGCGUCAACACGGCAGAUGGAAUAAUCUAACCUGCAACCAUGGUGUGCUGCAGCUGGCCAUUGUGGAAAUGCAACCGAGAGACCUCAAGGUUGUGGAAUCCUGGGUGGUUCUCAAUCCUUCUGUCCCUUCUGGCAGAAUCUCCCACCAACCGCGACUUCAGCUGGAUAAAAACGCUAGUGGAUUUGAAGAGCUUCACGCAGAAGCGGCGUCCGACAAGAAAAAUAUUCCGGUGGAAGGGACUUCACCAAAUGCGUCCAAAACUCGAACAACCUGGACAAGGAUUUUUGCGUGCACCACAAAAUCGAAAGAAAUCCUUCGAUGGGAUUAUGAUGAGAAGCGCCUCGGUGGAGAUUUUUAUAGUUUGCCGUGAUGAUCAGCGGGAGUUAGAUGGAUUUUGGAAGUGAGACUUUUUGUCGGUUCAGAUGACCACUUCCUGCUCCAGAUACUCUUUAGUGUUUUGGCUUUCCAAUGUGUUCAUGUGGCAGCCGUUUGACAACACAAAUAAUGUAAGAUUCAGUAGCGAGUAACGUCGG